rnacentral:rRNA from 1 species
UACGAAGGGGGCUAGCGUUGUUCGGAUUUACUGGGCGUAAAGCGCACGUAGGCGGUUCGUUAAGUCUUCUGUGAAAUCUACGGGCUUAGCCUGUAACGUGCAGAGGAAACUAGCGGGCUUGAGUGUCGGAGAGGAUAGGGGAAUACCCAGUGUAGAGGUGAAAUUCGUAGAGAUUGGGUGGAACACCAGUGGCGAAGGCGCCUAUCUGGCUGACAACUGACGCUGAGACUCGAAAGCAUGGGGAGCAAACAGG